rnacentral:ncRNA from 2 species
GUUCGUAAAAUCUUCCGAGCCUUCUAUUCCUAAAGCGUAAUGCCAUGGAUUCCAGGCCGUUCAGGGUGAGUUGCGGAAACGGACUUGCCUUCCAUUUGAAAAGGAGGAAAUAUUAAUAAUGU